GGGAACGUAUUCACCGCAGCAGUGCUGAUCUGCGAUUACUAGCGACUCCAACUUCACGGGGUCGAGUUGCAGACCCCGAUCCGAACUGAGCCCGGCUUUCUGGGAUUCGCUCCCCCUUGCGGGAUCGCAGCCCUUUGUACCGAGCAUUGUAGCAUGUUUGCAGCCCUGGACGUAAGGGGCAUGAUGACUUGACGUCAUCCCCACCUUCCUCCGGUUUGGCACCGGCAGUCUCCCUAGAGUUCCCGACAUGACUCGCUGGCAACUAAGGACAGGGGUUGCGCUCGUUGCGCCACUUAAGGCAACACCUCACGGCACGAGCUGACGACAGCCAUGCACCACCUGUGCAGGCUCCGAAGAGCGCCCGCUUUCACGGGUUUCACCCUGCAUGUCAAGCCCAGGU
rnacentral:rRNA from 1 species